AGUGAACGCUGGCGGUAGGCCUAACACAUGCAAGUCGAACGGCAGCACAGUAAGAGCUUGCUCUUACGGGUGGCGAGUGGCGGACGGGUGAGGAAUACAUCGGAAUCUACUUUUUCGUGGGGGAUAACGUAGGGAAACUUACGCUAAUACCGCAUACGACCUACGGGUGAAAGCAGGGGAUCUUCGGACCUUGCGCGAUUGAAUGAGCCGAUGUCGGAUUAGCUAGUUGGCGGGGUAAAGGCCCACCAAGGCGACGAUCCGUAGCUGGUCUGAGAGGAUGAUCAGCCACACUGGAACUGAGACACGGCCCAGACUCCUACGGGAGGCAGCAGUGGGGAAUCUUGGACAAUGGGCGCAAGCCUGAUCCAGCAAUACCGCGUGGGUGAAGAAGGCCUUCGGGUUGUAGAGCCCUUUUGUUGGGAAAGAAAAGCAGCUGGUUAAUACCCCGCUGUUCUGACGGUACCCAAAGAAUAAGCACCGGCUAACUUCGUG
rnacentral:rRNA from 1 species